rnacentral:rRNA from 1 species
GGCGAACGCUGGCGGCGUGCUUAACACAUGCAAGUCGAACGGAAAGGCCCUGCUUUUGUGGGGUGCUCGAGUGGCGAACGGGUGAGUAACACGGGAGUAACCUGCCCUUGACUUUGGGAUAACUUCAGGAAACUGGGGCUAAUACCGGAUAGGAGCUCCUGCUGCAUGGUGGGGGUUGGAAAGUUUCGGCGGUUGGGGAUGGACUCGCGGCUUAUCAGCUUGUUGGUGGGGUAGUGGCUUACCAAGGCUUUGACGGGUAGCCGGCCUGAGAGGGUGACCGGCCACAUUGGGACUGAGAUACGGCCCAGACUCCUACGGGAGGCAGCAGUGGGGAAUAUUGCACAAUGGGCGGAAGCCUGAUGCAGCAACGCCGCGUGCGGGAUGACGGCCUUCGGGUUGUAAACCGCUUUCGCCUGUGACGAAGCGUGAGUGACGGUAAUGGGUAAAGAAGCACCGGCUAACUACGUG